ensembl:lncRNA
GUGUUCGGCUCUGAGAGCGUCUGUGGGAUUUCGGGCGGAAAUGGGGGGGUAUCAUGUCGGCUAGCUGGUGCGGAGUCUUCUUUAAGAGACCAAGUACCUUGUCCUAGGAGCUCAAGUGGUGUAGCAGUUAAAAUUUUUAAUACUUAACAAAACUGGAUGAGUUUUAGCAGCCAGAUUCCUGAUUCAAGUUGUGCCUAGAGGCUGCAGCUUUCUUUGUGCAGACUGGGGAUCACAGGAGUAUAGCUUUCUGUUGAGUGCUGCAUUAAUGCUACUCAAGUUCUACAGAAGUGACUCAACAUCCCACAGGCCUGCCAGGAUGACAAGUCACUUGCAGGAUUCAGUGCUGGCUUUGUUACAGAACAGCCGCUGACGACCUUCUCAAUCCCAUCCUGGACUUCAGACUCAUGAAAGUUCUUGUCAGACAACACAAGGCAUCACAAAUAAAGCAGAGUUUUCAAUUAAAGCCAGUGGACUGAUUCAAGAAAUUACUGUUGAUGGGAAUGUUUAAUUUCAGCAAGAGAAUACCAUCUUGCCUUUGGGACUGAGAAGCAAAGUACAUCAUUGUUGUUUCCAGUUGGCCAAGAUUUACUUUAUUUCAGAUAGUGUGUUAGCAUUAAGCCCAGAUAUAUUUCCUACAAUUACAGGCUUUUUGGUAAGUGCAUAGGUUGUCACUUGAAUUGAUAGCUGUAUGGAAAAUAAAUAAACUCUAAACAUAGCUCAGAUGUAGAAUUGUGCUAUAUGCUUUGCUAAUUGAUGAGCACUUGCAUACAUCCUGCAUUAUGGGAUCCUGUGUUGUUUUUAAAAUCAGUGUAUAUUUGUUAAAAUGUCUUCCGUUUAUCUGAUUCCUAAUGCUUACUAUGAUGAAAAAAAUUAAUCUUCAUUUGCAACAGGAAUUUUAUUGUUGUCUUUAAAUGGUCUGAAUCUAAUCUGUAAGUACUUUUGUUUCACUGUAAUUAAUGCCCACCUUACUAGCUAAAAAAGCAAAUUAACUCAACAUGUAUCUGUGCUUCUCAGAGCAGAUGUAUAGC